UACGAAGGGGGCUAGCGUUGUUCGGAAUCACUGGGCGUAAAGCGCACGUAGGCGGGUCUUUAAGUCAGGGGUGAAAUCCUGGAGCUCAACUCCAGAACUGCCUUUGAUACUGAGGAUCUUGAGUUCGGGAGAGGUGAGUGGAACUGCGAGUGUAGAGGUGAAAUUCGUAGAUAUUCGCAAGAACACCAGUGGCGAAGGCGGCUCACUGGCCCGAUACUGACGCUGAGGCACGAAAGCGUGGGGAGCAAACAGG
rnacentral:rRNA from 1 species